ACUAAUAUAGUUUAAAUAAAAACACUUCAUUUUCAAUGAAGAAAUAAGAAUUAUCUUUAUAAGUA
rnacentral:tRNA from 1 species